AGAGUUUGAUCCUGGCUCAGGACGAACGCUGGCGGCGGGCUUAACACAUGCAAGUCAAGGGGGCGGCGCAAGCCGCAACCGGCGAACGGGUGCGUAACACGUGAGCGACUUUCCGUUUCCUGGGGGAUAGCCGGCCCAACGGCCGGGUAAUACCGCAUACGCUCGGUGAGGGGCAUUCCUUAUCGAGGAAACUUCCGGGGGGGAACGAGGGGCUCGCGGCCUAUCAGCUAGUUGGCGGGGUAACGGCCCACCAAGGCGACGACGGGUAGCUGGUCUGAGAGGAUGGCCAGCCACAUUGGGACUGAGAGACGGCCCAGACUCCUACGGGAGGCAGCAGUGGGGAAUCUUGCGCAAUGGCCGAAAGGCUGACGCAGCGACGCCGCGUGUGGGAGGACGCUCUUCGGGGUGUAAACCACUGUUGCCCGGGACGAACAGCUUCUUUCGAGGAGCCUGACGGUACCGGGUGAGGAAGCGCCGGCUAACUCUGUGCCAGCAGCCGCGGUAAUAC
rnacentral:rRNA from 1 species